UCAUCAUCAUAUUGUGUCGUGGUGGUGACGGUGUUAUCAUUUUUUAUUAUUUUCUUGUAAUAAUUAGGCCUAUAAAUGCAUAAUCAUGUUCACGUUUUGUGCUGUCAUGCUUUGCAGAUGACUGAGAAUAUUACUGAAGGAUCCUACAUGGAAGCUGUCUGAUUACACUGAGUGAUUCCUCUGGUGUGGUGUACCUCAGAGAAAAUAAACACUGUUGCAAGAGGUCACUGCUACUGCAGCAGAUGUCGCAAGUCUUUCUCUGCCCAACGCCCCAAGGCUGUUUGCACUUGGUUCAUUCUCAGAAUAAACCCAGAGGGCUCCAAAUGCCAGGCCAAGUC